CGACAAGAAGAUCCUGAAAAGAAACAACCACAUAGAGCGAAGGUUUAUUUAGCGACUCAUCGAAAAAAAGAUGAAGAAAGAAAUAAACAUGUGGCUGACUUGGCUGACUUGGAAAAGCUAAUACAUAACGAACCAGAGCUAGCAUAGAGUGACCGUGGAAAAGUUGCAUGGUAAGGUGAUGCCUUACAUACAAUUUUGGGGGAAGAAAAGCCUGGACAAGUGCAUGGCAUGGGUUUGCUUCCAGUGCCUAACCAAGUUUAUGGUCGGUUACCACGCUAUCUGAAGAACAUCAAUAUGACUACAACAAAUGAGUCAUCACAUGCUGAAGAGAGUGAUGUUAUGGAGGAAAUAGAAAAGCUCAAGCGGCGUAUAGAAGAGCAGGACCAACGCAUAGAAGAGCAAGACCAAAUUAUUGAAGUAUUUAGAAACCAGGAUGAAGCCAAUUUCCGCCAAGGUAAUGAUGAAUCUCAGCUGGAAGUACCACAAAAUAGAAGAAAG